CCGCGGUAAUUCCAGCUCCAAUAGCGUAUAUUAACGUUGUUGCAGUUAAAAAGCUCGUAGUUGAAGUGAGGGAGUGUGUGUUCAUGAGAGCUAGUCUCGAGUGUUCACAACCUCCCCCCUCCAAUCGGUGUAGUGGGGUAUUCAGUUAUUUCACUACUCCUUUGGUCGUUUACUGUGAGAAAAUUAGAGUGUUCAAAGCGGGCGUUUGUUUGAAUAGAUUAGCAUGGAAUAAUGAUUGAAGGCUUUCGUGUUCGAUUUGAUUGGUUUGUUCAUGGAAGCAAGGUUAAAAGGAACAGUUGGGGGUAUUCAUAUUCACUAGUUAGAGGUGAAAUUCUCGGAUUUAUGGAAGAUGAACAGGUGCGAAAGCAUUUACCAAGGAUGUUUUCAUUAAUCAAGAGCGAAAG
rnacentral:rRNA from 1 species